CAGUCCGUCGUCACUUUUCGCUCCUCUUUUUAUACGCGGCAUUUCAUCCCGAUCUCCUCAUUUUCCUCCACUAUUGAUGAACCUACUUUGCUU
ensembl:ncRNA F29F11.21 ncRNA